AAAGCGCAUGCAGGCGGCCUGUUAAGUCAGAUGUGAAAGCCCGGGGCGUUAACCUCGGAAUUGCAUUUGAAACUGGCAGGCUAGAGUCUUGUAGAGGGGGGUAGGAAGUUUCAGGUGUAGCGGUGAAAUGCGUAGAGAUCUGAAGGAAUACCAGUGGCGAAGGCGGCCCCCUGGACAAAGACUGACGCUCAGAUGCGAAAGCGUGGGGAGCAAACAGGAUUAGAUACCCUGGUAG
rnacentral:rRNA from 1 species